rnacentral:rRNA from 1 species
GGGGGGGGGGGGGGGGGGGGGGGGGAGGGGCGGGGCGGACGGGGGCGGCGGGGCGAGUGGCGCGCGGGGGGGUAACGCGUGGGAACCUGCCCGGAGGUUCGGAAUAACGCCCCGGAAGGGGUGCUAAUACCGGAUAAUGUCUUCGGACCAAAGAUUUAUCGCCUUUGGAUGGGCCCGCGUUGGAUUAGCUAGUUGGUAGGGUAAAAGCCUACCAAGGCGACGAUCCAUAGCUGGUCUGAGAGGAUGAUCAGCCACACUGGGACUGAGACACGGCCCAGACUCCUACGGGAGGCAGCAGUGGGGAAUAUUGGACAAUGGGCGAAAGCCUGAUCCAGCAAUGCCGCGUGAGUGAUGAAGGCCUUAGGGUUGUAAAGCUCUUUUACCCGGGAUGAUAAUGACAGUACCGGGAGAAUAAGCUCCGGCUAACUCCGUG